rnacentral:rRNA from 1 species
AUUGAACGCUGGCGGCAUGCCUUACACAUGCAAGUCGAACGGUAACAGGUCUUCGGAUGCUGACGAGUGGCGAACGGGUGAGUAAUACAUCGGAACGUGCCUAGUAGUGGGGGAUAACUACUCGAAAGAGUGGCUAAUACCGCAUGAGAUCUACGGAUGAAAGCAGGGGAUCGCAAGACCUUGUGCUACUAGAGCGGCCGAUGGCAGAUUAGGUAGUUGGUGGGAUAAAAGCUUACCAAGCCGACGAUCUGUAGCUGGUCUGAGAGGACGAGUGGCAACGCUGGAGCUGGAACGCGGCCCAGACUCCUACGGGAGGCAGCAGGGAGGAAUGUAGGGCAAUGGGCGCGAGCCUGAUCCAGCAAUGCUGCGUGCAGGAUGAAGGCCUUCGGGUUGUAAACUGCUUUUGAACGGAACGAAAAGCCCUGGAUUAAUACCCUGGAGUCAUGACGAUACCGUAAGAAUAAGCACCGGCUAACUACGUGCCAGCAGCCGCCGUAA